GGGUUGUGAGGUUAAGCGACUAAGCGUACACGGUGGAUGCCCUGGCAGUCAGAGGCGAUGAAGGACGUGCUAAUCUGCGAAAAGCGUCGGUAAGGUGAUAUGAACCGUUAUAACCGGCGAUGUCCGAAUGGGGAAACCCAGUGUGAUUCGUCACACUAUCGUUAACUGAAUACAUAGGUUAACGAGGCGAACCGGGGGAACUGAAACAUCUAAGUACCCCGAGGAAAAGAAAUCAACCGAGAUUCCCCCAGUAGCGGCGAGCGAACGGGGAGCAGCCCAGAGUCUGAAUCAGCUUGUGUGUUAGUGGAACGGUCUGGAAAGUCCGACGGUACAGGGUGAUAGUCCCGUACACCAAAAUGCACAGGCUGUGAACUCGAAGAGUAGGGCGGGACACGUGGUAUCCUGUCUGAAUAUGGGGGGACCAUCCUCCAAGGCUAAAUACUCCUGACUGACCGAUAGUGAANCCAGUACCGUGAGGGAAAGGCGAAAAGAACCCCGGCGAGGGGAGUGNNAAAAAGAACCUGAAACCGUGUACGUACAAGCAGUGGGAGCACCUUCGGGUGUGACUGCGUACCUUUUGUAUAAUGGGUCAGCGACUUAUAUUCUGUAGC
rnacentral:rRNA from 1 species